AGGUCCAGCCUGCCCAGUGACUCUGUUCAACGGCCGCGGUAUCCUAACCGUGCAAAGGUAGCGUAAUCACUUGCCCUUUAAAUAAGGUCUAGUAUGAACGGCACCACGAAGGUUAAACUGUCUCCUUUUUCUAAUCAGUGAAACUAAUCUCCCCGUGAAAAAGCAGGGAUGAACCCAUAAGACGAGAAGACCCUAUGGAGCUUUAAAUAUUAACAACAUUUGUCACUCAAUCUUAUAAACAGCAUACAUGUUUGUUAAUUUUUGGUUGGGGCGACCACGGAGUAAAACUCAACCUCCCUGUUGAAACUUGCUAAGAACCACAAUUUAAGCACCAACAAACUGACAUCCAUUGACCCAAUAUUUUGAUCAACGAACCAAGUUACCCUAGGGAUAACAGCGCUAUCCACUUCAAGAGC
rnacentral:rRNA from 1 species